rnacentral:rRNA from 1 species
AUUUUCUCUGCCCAAUGAUAAAAUUUAAUGGCCGCAGUAUUUUGACUGUGCAAAGGUAGCAUAAUAAAUAGUUUUUUAAAUGAAGACUGGAAUGAAGGAGAGGAUGAAAUUUAAACUGUCUCUAUUUAAAAAAUAAAAAUUUAUUUUAAGUUAAAAAUCUUAAAUAAAUUUAAGGGACGAGAAGACCCUAUAGAAUUUAAAAAUUUUAAAUAUAAAAUAAAAUUAAUUUAAAAAGAAUUUUUUAUUUAAAUUUUUUUAAUUGGGAGGAUGUUAAAAUUUAAAUAACUUUUAAUUUUAAAAUACAUAAAUAAAUGAAUAAAAUAAUGUUAAUAAAUAAAUAAAAUAAAAUUACCUUAGGGAUAACAGCGUAAUAAAUUUUUAAAGUUCAAAUUAAAAAAUUUGAUUGCGACCUCGAUGUUGAAUUAAAAUAAAAUUUAGGUGAAAAAGCUUAAAAUUUAAGUCUGUUCGACUUUU